rnacentral:lncRNA from 1 species
UCACCAUGAAUAUAUGCACCAAGGGAAUGAACACACAAAUUAAAAGGCUGGAGUAUAGUGGUGCGAUCAUAGCUAGCUGCAGCCUUGAACUCCUCCUCAAGCAAUCCUUCCUCCUUGGCCUCGCAAAGUCCUGGGAUUACAGGCGUGAGCUACUGGGCCUGACCUACAAAAUGUUUUAUGCUUUCGGCCUAAAUAGUGUUCCUUGGAGAGAAAAUUACCCUGGGAAUGAAUAAACAAGAGCAAUGCAAAUGUUUCUUUUACAUUAGAUUCUUGCAGCCCUGGAAAUCCUAAAUAAUAAUCAUGGCAAUACUACAUUUAUAAGACUAAAAGAUAGGAACUCAAGAAAAAUUUGGUCAUAGCAGUUGGUGAAAAAGUGAAUUUAAGAGAAGUGACAAAAAGAACUACUUGGGUAAAAACCUUGGCAAAAAGGUUCUAGAUUGGUUCAACUUUAAUCAGAUACCAUUCCAAGGACCCUUCAAUGCUGCCAGAGGUGGACUACAUUGUGAGAAGAAUGGAUCAUAAUAAUGAAGGA